GAUGAACGCUGGCGGCGUGCUUAACACAUGCAAGUCGAACGAACGACUAUUAACAGAACCUUUCGGGGCGAAGAAUAUAGAAGUUAGUGGCGGACGGGUGCGUAACGCGUGGGUAAUCUGCCUUUGUCAAAGGAAUAACUAUUCGAAAGAAUAGCUAAAACCGUAUAACAUAUUAAUAGGGCAUCCUAAUAAUAUCAAAACUGAGGUGGACAAAGAUGAGCCCGCGUCUGAUUAGCUAGUUGGUGAGAUAAAAGCCCACCAAGGCAACGAUCAGUAGCCGACCUGAGAGGGUGAACGGCCACAUUGGAACUGAGACACGGUCCAAACUCCUACGGGAGGCAGCAGUGGGGAAUAUUGCACAAUGGGGGGAACCCUGAUGCAGCAACGCCGCGUGAGUGAAGAAGGCAUUCGUGUCGUAAAACUCUGUAGUUGGGGAAGAAAGAAAUGACAGUACCCUAAAAGAAAGCCCCGGCUAACUACGUGCCAGCAGCCGCGGUAAUACGUAGGGGGCAAGCGUUAUCCGGAAUAACUGGGCGUAAAGGGUGCGCAGGUGGUUUAACAAGUUAGUGGUGAAAGGCAUAGGCUCAACCAAUGUAAGCCAUUAAAACUGUUUAACUUGAGUGCAGGAGAGGAAAGUGGAAUUCCUAGUGUAGCGGUGAAAUGCGUAGAUAUUAGGAGGAAUACCAGUGGCGAAGGCGACUUUCUGGACUGCAACUGACACUGAGGCACGAAAGCGUGGGGAGCAAACAGG
rnacentral:rRNA from 1 species